AGCGAGAGCAACCAUAUCGCGGUUAGUGAAUCGGCGAAAAACUUUUUCUGUGUGCUGUUUCUUGGAUUCAAGCCUUCCUCCAGAAACUUAAAGAGCGUUUGAUUCAAAUGCAGAAAAAUAUGCUACCGCCUUGGAUCUAGAAAUAAAACUCCUACAUAUACUGGACUCAAUCAGAAGCUCACAAGCAUAUUUUCGGAGCAGACCCUGUCUUGUGUAUAGCUCGCGGUUUAUGUUUUGAGUUUUUCGGCCUCACCAUGCUUUUACGACCACGGACAGAACAUCGAAAACAUUUGUUUAUGAAUAGCUGACGGUGGCGAAAUUUGUGGAGGAAAACAAAUAUCAGCCUAAAUUUUCCUAGAUUUUCUGCAAAAUACCACACCUGGAUCCAGAAGACUGUCUAUUCGAUGCCAUUAUUGCGUUACAGAAUAAAUUAGUGAAAGGAACAUUUCGGGUCUCCGUUGAAUCGGAACCACCAUUUCAUGAAUCGAAGGAGUCAGUUGUUUGUGGCGUUCAUUUGUAACCGGAGUUUCAGGAAUUAUACAUCAGACGUGCUCCCGUGGCCGAGUGGUUAGCGCAAACCUAACAUGCCGGGUGUUCGGGUUCGAUUCCCGUUCUGGUCGGGGAAAUUUUUCUUCAAAGAAAUUUCCUCUGACUUGCACUGUGGUCACGCGUAUUCUAGAGCUUGCCACUCAGAAUGCAUUCAUGGCGUGUUAUUUGGCAUAGAAAUCUCAACUAAGUACUAAUGAAAAUGACGCAAGUAAUACUACGUUGAGACGGCGGAGUUCCUCUAGGAACGUUAGUGCCCAUAUAAGAAGAAGAAGAAGAAGAAGAAGAAGAAGAAGAAGAACAUCAGAUAAUAUACAAUAAAAUUGAAAAGUAAAAGUCCGACCAUAAGUAGAAGCAUCCGAUGAUUCCAAAAUAGCUAUGGAAAUAACCAUAGAAAAUAUAUCGGUUGCUCCUGCUUCAUUCGUUUCACUUGUUAUACUCUUGAUUAUUUUUUUAGCUCAUAGAUCAUGAAUAGAAUGAGAAGAUUGUAGUUUUGCCUAUUGAUCGAUAUGACCAGCCUAAGUACUGAAAAUGACAUAAAACCUUGUUGGCGCUUACCCAAUUAGUCCUACGUUGUGUUUUUACUUUUACAGCUCACUCCGUAGCAGCAAACGACAAAGGCAAGUUCCAGAUUUUUCCUUUUCAGGUCCUUCAGCAGCAGCAGCGACAGCGAACAGCAAGGGAAG